rnacentral:rRNA from 1 species
AGCGAACGCUGGCGGCAGGCCUAAUACAUGCAAGUCGAGCGGGUCCUUCGGGAUUAGCGGCGGACGGGUGAGUAACGCGUGGGAACGUGCCCUUUGGUACGGAACAACUGAGGGAAACUUCAGCUAAUACCGUAUGUGCCCUUCGGGGAAAGAUUUAUCGCCAUUGGAGCGGCCCGCGUUGGAUUAGGUAGUUGGUGAGGUAAAGGCUCACCAAGCCUACGAUCCAUAGCUGGUCUGAGAGGAUGACCAGCCACACUGGGACUGAGACACGGCCCAGACUCCUACGGGAGGCAGCAGUAGGGAAUCUUGCGCAAUGGGCGAAAGCCUGACGCAGCCAUGCCGCGUGAAUGAUGAAGGUCUUAGGAUUGUAAAAUUCUUUCACCGGGACGAUAAUGACGGUACCCGGAGAAGAAGCCCCGGCUAACUUCGUGCCAGCAGCCGCGGUAAU